rnacentral:tRNA from 1 species
UAGCCUAGUGGUUAAGGCUUUGGAUCGCUAAUCCGGAGACGGCGGGUUCGAUUCCCAU